AUGCUCCACCAGCAGCACAUACACUAAAAUUGGAACAGUAAGGGUAUUAGCACGACCCCUGUACGAGAAUGACAUGCAAAUUCAUGAAGUGUUCCAUCUUUUU
rnacentral:snRNA from 1 species